CGGCCGGGCAGAGACGCUCCUCACUUUCCAGACUCAUUUUUUGUAUUUUUAGUAGAGACAGGGUUUCUCCAUGUUGGUCAGGCUGAUCUCAAACUCCCGACCUCAGGUGAUCUGCCUGCCUUGGCCUCCCAAAGUGCUGGGAUUACAGGUGUGAGCCACUGUGCCCAGCCGAGAGAUGGAAAACUUCUUAAUCUUUUCACAGAGAAUUUACAUUUAAUAAAAGUAUAGCCUUUGUUUGGUUUAAGCUGCAGGAAUGAAACUCUGAUGAUGAAAUCAUUGGCUUGAGUCAGUAGGAAGAAGAGGGGUUUGGUGUAGAGGGGCAGUCAGGGCCAUCCCUGAAAUCACCUCUUUUUAGGAGCUGUCCACCUCAGAGGCCAGCUCUGACCUUCCAUGUGAUGUGAGGGAUACUGCUUCACUCUCUGGACAUCAUUUUCUCCACUCAGAAAUGGAAGCAGGAGUUCUUGAUUUUCCAGAACUGAGGACAUUCCCUCUUAACUCCUAAGUGAUUAUCACCCUGCCUUCCUCUGCAAACUCAGCUUUCCUAGAGAAAACAAGGGAGAGGGGAUGCAGGGAAAUGGGCAGUAGGCACCCUUAACAAUCCUGUGAGGAGUGCUUGCUGUGACAGUGCAUAUACUAAAAUUGGAAUGAUAUAGAGAUUAGCAUAACUCCUGCAUAAGGAUGAUAUGCAAAUUUAUGAAGCUUCUUAAGUGUAAAUUUUGAAAGUCAUGGGAAACAGACAAAGGUUCUUCCCAAACCUGGGACCAUGCAACUCCCUGGAGACAUUUAAAAGAGCACUGGACAGCCAGAACCAACAGGCAGAGUGACCAGCUCAUCUUGUUUUCCCCUGGACAAAGUCCUGCGUUCCAGGAAAACUGGGAUGGCUGUCACCCCAUCAGGAGGCCUAGUCUUCAGCUCUGCAUCUGCCAUUAACUCCCUUCUCCUCAUAGCCUGAGUUUCCUCCUCAAUUGUAAAGUAGUAUACCUGGACAAGAUGAUAUCUAAGGGUACUUCCAGCCCUGCUGGAACAAACUGGAAAGUUGCCUUGGCUGCCCUAAUAUCCAGAAACCCUCAAGGAACUUGCCAGGAGCGUGGGCAGAACCAAUCUCAUCACCAGGGGGCGCACCUGAAGGUUCAGGGACCCGCAUGUUUUCCUAUACAGAUCCUCCGCUCUUACUGAUUCCUGUGAGUGACGUAGUUAAUACCAGCAGUGUAUUAUAAUCAUUAGUUGUCACUACAAAAUAGACUGAAGAUGAUUAUUCCUAGUUGUCAGAUUGUUUCAAGGAGUAUGUAAACCCAAAAUAACAAAUGUAGAAAAAAACAAUUUCACAAUGCUCCCAGCUGGCAUUAUAUCCAUUUAAUUAUACAGUCAUAUUGGAAUGAUACGUGGUUAUCGUUUCUAUUUAGAAUUUUACUUGUGCCAGGCGCGGUGGCUCACACCUGUAAUCCCAGCACUUUGGGAGGGCGAGGCGGGCGGAUCACCUGAGGUCAGGAGUUGGAGAGCAGCCUGACCAACAUGGCGAAACCCCGUCUCUACUAAAAAAUACAAAAAUUAGCCGGGCGUGGUGGCAAGCACCUGUGGUCCCAGCUACCCGGGAGGCUGAGGCAAGAGAAUCUCUUGAACCCGGGAGAAGGAGGUUGCAGUGAGCCGACAUCGCGCCACUGACUCUAGCCUGGGGGACGAAGCGAGACUCAGUCUCAAAAAAAAAAAAAAAAAAAAAGAAUUUUACUUGGAUUCCAGAGGAAGGAUUUCCAUCUCUCGAUUUCUAUUAACAUCAAAUAUAAAAUGUUUCUCUCUGUUGCAAAUCUAAGUACAUACUGUUCCAAAAGUGUGCUUUUUUGCCAGCUUUAUAAGGUCUCCAUCUUUUGGCAAGAUUAUCAAAACCAAAAAAUUUGGAAAGUUGUUCCAUUGCACUUUCCCAGAGUGAAUCUUGAAGCCAGACUGCCUAGCUUCACGUCUCAGCUCUGUUUCAUUAGUAUGAUUUAACGUUUCUGUGUGUCUGUGUCUUUCUCUGUAAAAUGCAGAUUGUCAGGCGAGGUUCCAGAGCUCUGGCACCGGAAGUGGUCGACUCGCGGGUUGGUUAAGAAUUUACCUAUAACAGUAUAGGUUUGAAAAGGGAAAGUUCAUUAGAAAGGAAGAACGUCGGCCGGGCGCGGUGGCUCACGCCUGUAAUCCCAGCACUUUGGGAGGCCGAGACUGGCGGAUCACGAGGUCAGGAGAUUGAGACCAUCCUGGCUAACACCGUGAAACCCCGUCUCUACUAAAAAUACAAAAAAAAAAUUAGCCGGGUUAGGUGGCGGGCGCCUGUAGUCACAGCUACGCGGGAGGCCGAGGCAGGAGAAUGGCGUGAACCCCGGGGGGCAGAGCCUGCAGUGAGCCGAGAUCGCGCCACUGCACUCCAGCCUGGGUGAAAGAGCAAGACUCCGUCUCAAAAAAAAAAAAAAAAAAAAAAAAUAGAAAGGAAGAACGCCGCAAAAGGGUGUAGCGCGGGCCUCAGCGAGAGGACUGAGCAUGCGUGGUGGAUUUUCCUUAGGGGCAUUUAUGGACCUUAAGGUGGGAGCUUAGGGUUGUAAAAUUAGUCUCAGCAUGGCAUUCCGGAAAUGUAUAGAAAUUUUAAUUACUUAUAAAAGUUGAAAGAGGCCUAGAAUCAGAUAUUGACUUUAGAUACUAGGGAAGUUUGAUUACCUCUAAAUUCCCCAGAUAAGGAGUUUUGCCGCCAGAUAGCCUGUUUGAUGGUCACCAGGUGGUCUUUGCUCCCUUCUACACUUGAUCUUAGCCAAAAGGCCGAGAAGCGAUGUCUUUGCUCCCUUCUAAAUUGCUCAUAUAAGAAUUUUUUGGGCCAGGCGUGGUGGCUCAUGACUGUAAUCCUAGCACUUUGGGAGGCCGAGGCGGGCAGAUCACUUGAGGUCAGGAGUUUGAAACCAGCCUGGUCAACA
rnacentral:lncRNA from 1 species